AGGAUUAACGCUGGCGGCGUGCCUGACACAUGCAAGUCGAACGAGGCCGCAAGGCCGAGUGGCGGACGGGUGAGUAACACGUGACCAACCAACCUCGAAGUUGGGAAUAGCUCUGCGAAAGUAGGGGUAAUACCGAAUGUGGCCCAGGGCGGGCAUCCGCCUUGGUCUAAAGAUUCAUCGCUUCGAGACGGGGUCGCGGCCUAUUAGCUUGUUGGUGAGGUAACGGCUCACCAAGGCGAUGAUGGGUAGCUGGUCUGAGAGGACGACCAGCCACACUGGGACUGAGACACGGCCCAGACUCCUACGGGAGGCAGCAGUGAGGAAUCUUCCGCAAUGGGCGAAAGCCUGACGGAGCAACGCCGCGUGUGGGAUGAAGACUCUAGGGUUGUAAACCACUGUCGGAGGGGACGAUCGUGACCGGUACCCUCCAAGAACGCCCCGGCUAACUACGUGCCAGCAGGCCGC
rnacentral:rRNA from 1 species